rnacentral:rRNA from 1 species
UGAGGAAUAUUGCUCAAUGGGCGAAAGCCUGAAGCAGCAACGCCGCGUGCGCGAUGAAGGCCUUCGGGUCGUAAAGCGCUUUUGAGAGGGACGAGAUAGGACGGUACCUCUGGAAUAAGUCACGGCUAACUACGUGCCAGCAGCCGCGGUAAAACGUAGGUGGCAAGCGUUAUCCGGAUUCACUGGGCGUAAAGCGCGUGCAGGUGGCUUCGUAAGUUGGACGUUAAAUCUCCCGGCCUAACCGGGAGGAGUCGUUCAAUACUGCGGGGCUGGAGGGCAGAAGAGGGGGGUGGAAUUGCUGGUGUAGUGGUGAAAUGCGUAGAUAUCAGCAGGAACACCCGUGGCGAAAGCGGCCCCCUGGUCUGCUCCUGACACUCAGACGCGAAAGCUAGGGGAGUGAACGGGAUUAGAAACCCCGGUAAUCCUAGCCGUAAACGAUGGAUGCUAGGUGUGGGUGGUAUUGACCCCAUCCGUGCCGAAGCUAACGCGUUAAGCAUCCCGCCUGGGGACUACGGCCGCAAGGUUA